rnacentral:rRNA from 1 species
UACGUAGGGGGCAAGCGUUAUCCGGAAUUAUUGGGCGUAAAGAGUACGUAGGUGGCAACCUAAGCGCAGGGUUUAAGGCAAUAGCUCAACCAUUGUUCGCCCUGCGAACUGGGAUGCUUGAGUGCAGGAGAGGAAAGCGGAAUUCCUAGUGUAGCGGUGAAAUGCGUAGAUAUUAGGAGGAACACCAGUGGCGAAGGCGGCUUUCUGGACUGUAACUGACACUGAGGUACGAAAGCGUGGGGAGCAAACAGG